rnacentral:rRNA from 1 species
CUGACCGUAAACGAUGCCAACUAGCGAUCCGCCGGUGGCUUCUAGGCCCUGGUGGGGAGCUUCCCGGAAACGAAAGUCUUCCGGUUCCGGGGGAAGUAUGGUUGCAAAGCUGAAACUUAAAGGAAUUGACGGAAGGGCACCACCAGGUGUGGAUCCUGCGGCUUAAUUUGACUCAACACGGGAAAACUCACCCGGCCCGGACACCGUGAGGAUUGACAGAUUGAUAGCUUUUUCAUGAUUCGGUGGUUGGUGGUGCAUGGCCGUUCUUAGUUCGUGGAUCGAUUUGUCUGGUUUAUUCCGAUAACGAGCGAGACUCCAGCCUACUAACUAGUGCAGGCAUUGCUUCUGUGCCUUUCGCACUUCUUAGAGGGAUUGGCUGCGUCUAGCGGCACGAAACGGAGCAAUAACAGGUCUGUGAUGCCCUUAGAUGUCCGGGGCUGCACGCGCGCUACACUGGCAAAGGCAACGUGCUUGUCCGUCUCCGAGAGGAGCCGGUAAACCCUUGAAAGUUUGCCGUGAUUGGGAUCGGAGAUUGCAAUUAUUUUCCGUGAACGAGGAAUACCUAGUAAGUGCGAGUCAUCAGCUCGCGUUG